rnacentral:rRNA from 1 species
UACGUAGGGGGCAAGCGUUGUCCGGAUUUAUUGGGCGUAAAGAGCGUGUAGGCGGUUCGGUAGGUCCGUUGUGAAAACUCGAGGCUCAACCUCGAGACGCCGAUGGAAACCCCCGAACUAGAGUCCGGAAGAGGAGAAUGGAAUUCCUGGUGUAGCGGUGAAAUGCGUUGAUAUCAGGAGGAACACCCAUGGCGAAGGCAGCUAACUGGGCAUUAUCUGACGCUGAGGCGCGAAAGCGUGGGUAGCAAACAGG